rnacentral:hammerhead_ribozyme from 1 species
GAGUCCCAAAUAGGACGAAAUGCACAUCCUGGAU